GUGAAUCAUCAAAUUCUUGAACGCAAAUUGCGCUUCCUGGUAUUCCGGGAAGUAUGCAUGUUUGAGGGUCAGUAUUAACAAAAAAUCGGUUUGGUUGCAAUUUGUGACGUAUACGGAGUGUGGGCUGAUCUUAACUUUUUUGGUUAAGGGGCUUAAAAUUGACCUUUUUUGAGCAUAUUUAGACGAACAUAAAUUUAUUUUCUUAUUCGUAUAUUUUUAAUGCCAAAAUAUUAUUAGAUGAGAUC
rnacentral:misc_RNA from 1 species